UACCGAUCACCUUUUCCUAAACCAACGCUUUCUUGCUCUCCCCUUGCCAUGGACAGGACAAACGCCGCGGCCGCUGCCCCGCCGCCGGUACCCAUGGCGGCGCCCGUCGUCCCGGUCGAUCUGACGGUCGUCAAGAAGCUCCUCGGGGGCGGCGGCGACCUGGCGGUCCACGACGCGUCUGGCGGUCUCGCCUUUCGCGUCACGGCGGCAGACGGUUGUGGCAGGAGGUGCGGAGGGAGAGCGCUCCUCGACGCCUCCGGAGGCACUCUGGUCACUGCCAGGAGCAGCGAGGGUGCAUGGCAGGCAUUCAAAGGAAUUAGUUGGGAACAGAAAGACAUAAUUUUUUCAACAAAGGUAAUGUGUGCUUCUUCAGAUCGAAAGGAGGUACAUGUCUUUGUCCCGCCGAGAAGCACAUCUGAGGAGCAAAAACCAAGCUACAUACUCGUAGGAAAUCCAUCUCGAAGAGCAUGCACGAUUAUAAGGGGAAACUCCAUUGUUGCUCAGACAAAUCUCCCGUACAAACUCAAUAAGGCCGUCUAUUCAAGGCGGAAGUUUAGAGUGACGAUUUACCCAGGAAACGAUAACAUUCUGAUCAUGGCAAUGGUGAUGACCUUCCUUGUUCAAAAAUAACAUAGGUUCCUAAUGAAGCAGACGCUUUCAGUAGGAAGGCCAUAAGCACCCACACGAGGAAAAAAAAAUGACCAACCACCCACACGAGAAACAGUAUUCCAUUAGAAUGGUACAUAUUCUCUGGAAACUUCUGAGAACUUGAGUAAUGUGUUCAGUGAAAUUCUGCAACAGGAUAAGAGAAGUUGAGCACCAAAGUUUUGUCGCGUCCAUUUAUCGCCGAUGAUGAAAUGUACUCCCUCCAUCCCAAAAUAAGUGUCUUAACUUUGUACUAGCUCUAGUACAAAUUUAUACUCAGCUCAAGACACUUAUUUUAGGACGGAGGGAGUAUAAAUUUUAUAACAAAUGCUAUUUUGACUGAAUAGAUGGAAUGAAUGAAAGUAUGGGCAAUCAUUUCAACGCUUGAAUUACCAGAACCUUCGAAUGCUUAGGGCGCUGUCACUUGGCGAGGUUCUCCGAGUUCACAAUACACUGGCC
rnacentral:rRNA from 1 species